GAAGCUACAAAGAGAGGUGGAUGAAGUGAGUGAAAGACUAUCUCAGUUAGUGGAUUCUGUGGACGUCACUAGGGUUGAUAUAGAUUCCCUUAUUACAAGUAUUAUACAACAAUAAUAUAAGUUUCACUACUCAAUACCCUCUCCUCUUUUCUAUCCAUAUGCUUAUAUAUGGAAUUAUAUAUGAUGCCAGCAUGUAUAUUCCUGUAUUAAUAACUCUAGUAUAUGCUUAAUUUUAUAAAUAUGCAGCUUUUUCUUUUUCUUUUUCUAAUCUCAGCUUUUUCUUUUUCUUUUUCUAAUCU
rnacentral:misc_RNA from 1 species